rnacentral:rRNA from 1 species
CCUACGGGAGGCAGCAGUGGGGAAUAUUGGACAAUGGGCGAAAGCCUGAUCCAGCAAUGCCGCGUGAGUGAUGAAGGCCUUAGGGUUGUAAAGCUCUUUUACCAGGGAUGAUAAUGACAGUACCUGGAGAAUAAGCUCCGGCUAACUCCGUGCCAGCAGCCGCGGUAAUACGGAGGGAGCUAGCGUUGUUCGGAAUUACUGGGCGUAAAGCGUACGUAGGCGGUUAUUCAAGUCAGAGGUGAAAGCCCGGGGCUCAACCCCGGAACUGCCUUUGAAACUAGAUAGCUAGAAUCUUGGAGAGGUUAGUGGAAUUCCGAGUGUAGAGGUGAAAUUCGUAGAUAUUCGGAAGAACACCAGUGGCGAAGGCGACUAACUGGACAAGUAUUGACGCUGAGGUACGAAAGCGUGGGGAGCAAACAGGAUUAGAUACCCUGGUAGUCCACGCCGUAAACGAUGAUAACUAGUUGUUCGGGCACUUGGUGCCUGAGUGACGCAGCUAACGCAUUAAGUUAUCCGCCUGGGGAGUACGGUCGCAAGAUUAAAACUUAAAGGAAUUGACGG